rnacentral:lncRNA from 1 species
CCACUUUCAAGUUGAGGGCUAUUCUCUGGUUAUUUUUCCUUCCUUCAUUUAUUAGUUUGUCGUAUAUGGUUUUAUUUUUCUUCUAUUUAUUUUUUUUUUUUUUAUUUCAUUUUAUCUAUUCAUUAAUCUUUCCUUUUCGAUUUUUGGGAUUUCUUUACUUUAUUUCUAUUUCCUUUUUGUAUUAUUCAUAUUUUUUUUUUCUCUCUCCACAGUAUCUCUUCCUUUGGUUGUACUCCAGCUGUAAUACUUGUUAUUCAUUUUUGACUAGUUAGGCAUGGGAGAUACAACCUGUAAUACCUCUAAUAGUACACAUUAUUUAUCAUGCCAAUUAUGUGUGUCCCAUUUGGUCCAAUAAAAUCUUCACUGGCCCAUAUGCUUUGUCAAAUUGAGAAACAUUUUUUACUUGCACUAAUAUUAGUAUUUAGAUCUGGUUCGUUUUGGUGGGAGUUUUUUUUUUUGUAAAGCAUGCAUGUCAGCUGGGCGCCUGCUCAUCAUGGCGAAGGCGAACCUGGUUUUGUAUAUGGUUACUUGAUGGUUUUGGCAACCAUCAAAAACCCCUGCAGACACUUUAUGGUGGAACUACUGCCUUUAUACACUUGUACACCCGUAUAUCAAUGGAAAGCAAGGAAAGUGAACCAGAAAAGGGACUGGGGUUGAUAGGAUUCUAGAAGUGAGUACCGGAUAACCGCAAGAUGGCUGCCAGACUAGGAGCUUGAUGUUGGUAAAAAGCAAAAAAAAUUUAUCGUCGAGCGAAAUGCGUGCAUCUUCGUAGUACCAAUAGGUACAUUUCUAGUUAGUGUUACUGACUAAACACCUUCCACUUCUCCUUUUUGUACAAGAGCAUCUAUUUUCAUAUUUUUGUAUUGUAGAAUUAAUAAAAUGUGUUAGUUUUUUUGUUUUUUGUGUUUUUUUUUUGUUGCUUUUAAUAACAUCAAGUUCCUGGUACACUUUCCUUGCUUUUCAGUUUCUAUUUGGGGUUAUCCCCCAUCCUUAGUGUACCUGGAAUUGGCUCAUAUAAAGUACCAUUCACCCUUGACAAAGGCCCAUAAGGCUGAAACACUGUGUGGCGUGGUAACUUAGCUCCAGUCCCACACCACUAGUUCUUGAGGUAUCACUAUUGGUACACAUGAUCUAUGUGAGCUUUUUUCACUUGUAGUAAUUUAUUUUUGUCUGCUGUUAAUUAUGUAUAAACUCAUGAUUUUCUUUCUCCUGGACCACAUGAAUUUUGCAUAAGAAUGUUUGUGACUAUUCUUGUAAUUUUGUGUAUAUGGGUCAAGUAAUAAAGUGUUAUUUUAUUUAUACUACUUGGUGUGCAGUGGAUAUUAUUUAUGGUAACUAUAAAACAGUUAUUUUACGAGAAAUGGCAAUAUCAGCAAGCAAUUAAGGGAUUUUCCUAUUUCAUAACAUUGGAUUGGCUGAUUGCCAUGAGUUGUAGGUUCACAAUGCAUUUGGACCAGCAAUCAUAAUACUUGGAUUUGCAACCGGUAAACUUGUCUGUGAUCCAGAACAACCUCCCCACCUUCCUGCAAAGGGGGCAAAAGUGAAAGUUUAAAGAAUGGCAAGGAAGAAACCAUAUUGUUAAUCAGUCCUCUGCAUAAAGAUCUAUGUUGAUUUUUUGGUUUGAGGUGUUA